GAUGAAGAACGUAGCGAAAUGCGAUAAGUAAUGUGAAUUGCAGAAUUCAGUGAAUCAUCGAAUCUUUGAACGCACAUUGCGCCCGCUAGUAUUCUGGCGGGCAUGUCUGUCCGAGCGUCAUUUCAACCCUCAAGCCCCCGGGCUUGGUGUUGGGGAUCGGCGAGCCUCCGCGCCCGCCGUCCCCUAAAUCUAGUGGCGGUCUCGCUGUAGCUUCCUCUGCGUAGUAGCACACCUCGCACUGGGAAACAGCGCGGCCACGCCGUUAAACCCCCAACUUCUGAACGUUUGACCUCGGAUCAGGUAGGAAUACCCGCUGAACUUAAGCAUAUCAAUAAGCGGAGGA
rnacentral:misc_RNA from 1 species